UUAAAUUGAAGAGUUUGAUCAUGGCUCAGAUUGAACGCUGGCGGCAGGCCUAACACAUGCAAGUCGAACGGUAACAGGAAGCAGCUUGCUGCUUUGCUGCCGAGUGGCGGACGGGUG
rnacentral:rRNA from 1 species